CCCUUAGACGUUCUGGGCCGCACGCGCGCUACACUGACCAGUGCAACAAGCAUCCGUCCUUGGCCGACAGGCUCGGGCAAUCUUUGAACGCUGGUCGUGAUGGGGAUAGACUUUUGCAAUUUUUGGUCUUCAACGAGGAAUUCCUAGUAAACGCAAGUCAUCAACUUGCAUUGAUUACGUCCCUGCCCUUUGUACACACCGCCCGUCGUACCUACCGAUUGAAUGGUCCGGUGAAGCCUCCGGAUUGGCGCGCACCUCGGUGCCGCCGAGAAGUUGGCUAAACCUUACCAUUUAGAGGAAGGUGAAGUCGUAACA
rnacentral:rRNA from 1 species